CAGACUGGAUGGUGGCUUUCCUUGUGGCGUUCAGCCUUGUGCUUGGAGCAGUUGGUGUGUUGGUGUUCUUCUGCAGAAAACGAUUGAAAAAAGUUAAAGUUUAUGAAAAUCUAAAAAAGGGAUUUAAAAAUCUGGAUAAUGAACUGAAAUCUGCCAAACAAGACCAAAAAUACAUGAAAAAAACACU